AGGGUUGGCCACCUUGAGAAGCUGCGAAGAUGGCGGAGUAAGGCGUGCCGCUGCAAACUGGCCUCUGGGCCGGGGGCGAGCAGCCCCCGGGAGGCCGAGUGCAUCUGUUGGACCGUGCGAGGAGAAGAAAAAAAAUAUCGGCCAGAGGAGAGGAACUAACCGAACAUUCUUCCUCCCUACCUUAUAGAGGGGAGUGGUCAUCUACACUAAAGCAAAGUGUUAGGCGCGUCCGUGCGAAGAGACCACCAAACAGGCUUUGUGUUCCUUAUCACAGGAAGAAAAUUUUCCUUGACCUUUAGGUGCUUUUAUAUUCAUCUCAAAAACAAAAUUCUGAACUCAGGACUUGGCAAGUAAGUAAUUGUGGGCUAAUCGUUCCAAAUACUGUUUAAGUAGCUUGAAAACAGGUACAUAGAAGUGGAACAAUAAGCCGUUAGCUUCAGCAGAAGACGAACAUGAAAAAUGACUGUAAGCUAUUGAAAUUUAAGUUAAAUCUUUUAUUUUUCAACAAAAGAAAUGUAUUAAAUAAAAAGGAGUAAUCUUGAUCAUUUGCUCAAACUACCAAUAAUUUUCACUGUCUAAAGAAAACAGACACAUAUUUAAUUAGAUUGAAGGAAAUCAAAUGAUUAAAAAAUAGGCCUGGCCCGGUGGCUCACGCCUGUAAUCCCAGCAGUUUGGG
rnacentral:lncRNA from 10 species